GGAGAGUUCCAGGGUAGAUGGAGGUGCACAUUUCUUUCCCGGGCGACUGUAGCUUUGGUUACACCACAGAGACCCAUAUAGGACAGGAAUUACUUUCCUACUAGCACAUGUAAGCAAAUACUCAGGAACAGGGAAGGCAUUUUUGAGUCACAGCGGCCAACUGAGAAGGGGGCAGGGCCAGAGAGGGCGUGUUUUGUCAUCACCAAUGACAAGUACGCCCCCUCCCAAAGUGAGCAUGUUGGUUCAAUACUCUUGAAGGGUGCAAUGUGUGUGUGUGUUUGUGUAUGUUUGUAUGUAUGUAUGUGAGAGGUGCAGUGUGUAUGUGUGUGAGUGGUGCAGUGUGUGAAGGCUGCAGUGUGUGUGAAAGUCGCAGUGUGUAUGAAUG